ACGCCACCUGGUGGAUGGAUAGGCUUGGCCACCGAUGAAGGUCGUGGCAAGCUGCGAUAAGCCCUGGCGAGGCGCAGGCAGCCUUGGAACCAGGGAUGGCCGAAUGGGACUUCCCUCCGAGUGUUCUCCACUCGGAGCUCCCUGGCAAAACUGGGGAGCGGGAACCCCCCGAACUGAAACAUCUUAGUAGGGGGAGGAAGAGAAACCAAUAGGGAUGCCCUUAGUAAAGGCGAUUGAAGAGGGCACAGGGCAAACCGAACCACCAUGGGAAACCAUGGUGGGAUGUGGGGUUGUAGGACCCGGGUAAUUCCUCCUCGGGGAAGCCGAAGUGUGGUUGGAAAACCCCGCCAGAGAGGGUGACAGCCCCGUAGGCGUAACCCGAGAGGAAUAGUCCCGGGGAUCCUGAGUAGCAUACCUCGGAUAUGGUGUGCGAAGCUGGGAGGCAUCGACUUCCAACCCUAAACAUGUGCCAAGACCGAUAGCGAAAUAGUAGGGUGACCGAACUCUGAAAAGAACCCUGGAAAGGGUGUGAAAAGAGCCUGAAACCAGGUGGCUAUAGGUGGGUACAGCCCGGAAGAGUCGAAGCUCUCCGAAGGAAGCCUUGGCGACGAGGUGGACGAGGAGAGCUGAUCAGGGUUGUACCGUCCGUCUGGAAUCACGGGCCGGGGAGUUUAUCGCUGUGGCGAGGUUAAGGGGGUCAGCCCCGAAACCGUAGGGAAACCAACAUGCUCGCAGCCCGAAAAGGGCGAGGAGCGGAGUGUGAAAGCGCUUGGAGUCACAGCGAUAAGACCCGAAACCGGUCGAUCUAGCCGUGGGCAGGGUGAAAUCGUCCUUACGGACGAUGGAGGCCCGUAGAGGUGCUGAUGUGCAAUUCGCUCUUGUGACCUGCGGCUAGGGGUGAAAGGCCAAUCUAGACCGGAGACGGCUGGUUCCCCCCGAAGUGGCUCUUAGGCCAGCCUGGGGCGAGGUUGCCAGCGGGGUAGAGCACCGAUUGGGUGUUUAGGGGGAGAGAUCCCUCGGCAUCCUGUCAAACUCCGAACCCGUUGGCGCCGUAGACCCCCAGAGACGGGGUCCAGGGGGUAAGCCUCUGGUCCGAGAGGGGAAAAACCCUGACCUGGGUUAAGGUCCCAAAGUGCCGGCUAAGUGUUAAACCGAAAAGGCGUCCCUGGUCUAAGACAGCGGGGAGGUAGGCUUAGAAGCAGCCAUCCUUUAAAGAGUGCGUAACAGCUCACCCGCCGAGAUCAGGGGCCCUGAAAAUGGACGGGGCUAAGCCGGCCACCGAGACCCAGGGGCACACCCUAACGGGUGUGAUCCGGUAGGGGGGCGCUACACAUGGGUAGAAGCACGGCGGUAACGUCGUGUGGACCGUGUGUAGAUGAGAAUCCCGGUGGUAGUAGCAGCAAAGCAGGGUGAGAAUCCCUGCCGCCGGAGGGGCUAGGGUUCCCGGGCAAUGUUCGUCAGCCCGGGGUUAGCCGGUCCUAAGGCCUGACGUAACUCGAACAGGCCGAAAGGGAAGCAGGUUAAUAUUCCUGCGCCACGGAGGUACGUGCGGCAACGCAAGUCUCUUUCCCGACGCUUCGGGGAAGACCGAGCAAGGCUGUCGCCUUGUCUAACUCCCGAAACCGGGGGAGACCCGUAAUGGGGAGAACCCGGUGAAAGGAGGAAUGGCCAACCGGUGGGUUGGUUCGGUCGAAGCCCUGGAGCCCAUGAAAAGGGAAAGAGAAAGGAUCCUCCGUGACCGUACCGAGAACCGACACAGGUGCCCCUAGGUGAGAAGCCUAAGGCGUGUCGGGGAUAACCCAGCCAAGGGAACUCGGCAAAUUGGCCCCGUAUCUUCGGUAUAAGGGGUGCCAGCCGUGCAAGCGGCUGGUCGCAGUGACUAGGGGGGAGCGACUGUUUAAUAAAAACGUAGGUCCCUGCAAGCCCGUAAGGGUGUGUACAGGGGCUGACGCCUGCCCAGUGCCGGUUCGUUAAGCCGGGUUCCAACCCGGUUAAGCGCCGGUCAACGGCGGGGGUAACUAUAACCCUCUUAAGGUAGCGAGAUACCUUGCCGCUUAAUUGGCGGCCCGCAUGAAUGGCGUAACGAGAUCCCCACUGUCCCUGGCUGGGGCCCGGCGAACCCAUUUCGUGGCGCACAUACCACGGACCUCCAGUGGGAAGUGAAGACCCCGUGGAGCUUUACUGCAGCCUACCGUUGGGGCGUGGCUGUGGAUGUACAGAGUAGGCGGGAGCCGUCGAAGCCCAGUCGCCAGGCUGGGUGGAGGCGCCAAUGGGACACCGCCCUUCCGCGGUUGCGUCCCUAACCAGCUUGCUGGGACACCGGUAGGUGGGCAGUUUGGCUGGGGCGGCACGCCCCUGAAAAGAUAUCAGGAGCCCCCAAAGGUCGGCUCAGACGGGUCAGAACUCCGUCGUAGAGUGCAAGGGCAAAAGCCGG
rnacentral:rRNA from 1 species